rnacentral:rRNA from 1 species
AAGUUUUCGGAUGGAUUUAGAACAGCUUAGUGGCGGACGGGUGAGUAACGCGUGGGUAACCUGCCUCACACUGGGGGAUAACAGUUAGAAAUAGCUGCUAAUACCGCAUAAGCGCACAGGAUUGCAUGAUCCAGUGUGAAAAACUCCGGUGGUAUGAGAUGGACCCGCGUCUGAUUAGCCAGUUGGCGGGGUAACGGCCCACCAAAGCGACGAUCAGUAGCCGACCUGAGAGGGUGACCGGCCACAUUGGGACUGAGAUACGGCCCAGACUCC